CGGCGAGGUCAUGGAACUUGGCGAGACAGACACCUCUCCUCCUUAGUUGUGAGUUGGGUAGCAGGCCAGCUCGAUGCGAAAAGCUGCUUGGAGUUCUGGCUUCUCUGCAGCAGUGGGUCGGAGGGGUCGAAGAGGCGGCAAGCUUCGGCAACAACAAAAGCUCUCGGCGACAUCCAGAAGCGGGACGUGAGGCAACGCUAAAGCGGCGGCACGAAGUUGAGGCGAGGCUGCAACGUAGUUAGGGCUUGGAUGGCGGCUGCUGCACUAUUGGGGAAGAAGAACUUGGGUUUUAUAUGGAGGCGUAGAUGUGGGGAGCACGUAGAAUUGAACGAGCAUCAGGAUCGGAGCGUCGGGAUUUCGCCCUGGUGGAGUCCGGUUCCUCUACGACUUGGGAGAGGAGAAGACAAUGACAAGUGGGACCAUAGCGUCUGAGGGAGAGGAAAAUGAGCAAGCUAGCGUGCGUCCAUGGGGCUCAGUUAGGCCGUUGUGUCAGAAGCCCAUCACGUCCGAACAGAGAGAGAGGAGAAGAAAUUCUUUUUUUUUCCUUCUAAAUUUUCAAAGUCAUUUUCUAAUUGAACUUCAAAUCGAUUUAAUUUUAGUUCAGAACCACUCAUCACAAUAAAUCAAAUGCA
rnacentral:lncRNA from 1 species